AAAGUCCAAGGUCAAGAUGCCAGCAGAUUCAGUGUCUAGUGAAGCCUGUUUCCUGGUACAUAGAGAGCUCUCUCUAUUAUCUCACAGGACACAAGGGUCAAAGGAGUUAUCUGGAGUCUCUUUGGACAUGUUGCUCUAUCACCCAUAACUGAUUCCUUGGGAGGCCUGACAGCGAUGUUUUCUCAACAUGCAGGGUUCUGGAUCUAUACUCAUAAGGACUUGACCACUCCAAGACAAUAAAAUCUGCUCGUGGAAACAGGCUAAGUGGAUU